rnacentral:rRNA from 1 species
AUUGAACGCUGGCGGCAGGCCUAACACAUGCAAGUCGUGCGGAUGACGGGAGCUUGCUCCUUGAUUCAGCGGCGGACGGGUGAGUAAUGCCUAGGAAUCUGCCUGGUAGUGGGGGACAACGUUUCGAAAGGAACGCUAAUACCGCAUACGUCCUACGGGAGAAAGCAGGGGACCUUCGGGCCUUGCGCUAUCAGAUGAGC